GCCGCAUGUGAGAGCGCAACAGCCACCUGGUCAGCAACAACUUCAACGAUCUCUAGUUCGUGGUAGCUCCAGUGUCUCGAAUCGUCCUUAGGGAGAACCAACACCAGUAUCGCGUAGCAAGCCUGAAUGACUUCCGGAGUACCCCCUUUGAAAUCUGCAACUUUCAGUAUUUGAAUUCGAAUUGCGGCUACAGCUCCAGUUUCAAGUAGUCCACUACUCGCAGAACCAAGCACGGAAUCUGGCCUGAUUAUUUUCACACCCUCGGUUUUCCUUAUCUCA
rnacentral:misc_RNA from 1 species